rnacentral:rRNA from 1 species
CACCAGACUCCUACGGGAGGCAGCAGUGGGGAAUAUUGCACAAUGGGGGGAACCCUGAUGCAGCGACGCCGCGUGGGUGAAGGAGUAUUUCGGUAUGUAAAGCCCUAUCAGCAGGGAAGAACAAUGACGGUACCUGACUAAGAAGCACCGGCUAAAUACGUGCCAGCAGCCGCGGUAAUACGUAUGGUGCAAGCGUUAUCCGGAUUUACUGGGUUUAAAGGGUGCGCAGGCGGCACGGCAAGCCGGCGGUAAAACCGCGGGGCUCACCCCCGCCCAGCCGUCGGAACUGCCGGGCUAGAGUGGGCGAGAAGUGCGCGGAAUGCGUGGUGUAGCGGUGAAAUGCAUAGAUAUCACGCAGAACUCCGAUUGCGAAGGCAGCGCACCGGCGCCCUACUGACGCUCAGGCACGAAAGCGUGGGUAUCGAACAGGAUUAGAUACCCCCGUA